rnacentral:rRNA from 1 species
AUAGGGUCACCUAGGCGACCAUCUCUAACUGUGCUGAGAGGAUGAGAGAGCGCGCUGGGACUGAGACACGGCCCAAACUCCUACAGAAGGCAACAGUGGGGAAUAUUGCGCAAUGUUCGCAAGCCUGAUGCAGCCNUGCCGCGUGUAUGAAGAAGGCCUUAGGGUUGUUUAGUACUUUCAACCUCUGUGAAGGUGAUAAAGUUACUACCCUUGUCACUUGUCGUUAACCGCCAAAAAAUCA